rnacentral:lncRNA from 1 species
AGCUGAGAUCUUGCCAUUGCGCUCCAGCCUGGGUGACAAAGUCCAAGUUGUGGAUAUGUCAUUGGUUUGUUACCCUCUUUAUUCACUGGUCUUCUCUGUCUCAUACCACAAUGGCAAACCCAGAGAGAUGGACCGACCUAGUUGGCCUGGUGAUCAGGUUGCUACUAAUGAAGGGAUGUGUCAUUCUGCAGAGGCUGGAGAGACUUCAGGCAAACUCAACAGUCCCAAACCCUUAGAAACUUACUCUUGGAACAAACAUAUGUAGCUGAGUUCCUCUGUGUCAGGAGCUGCUAUAUAAAUGAGAGUUUUCUGAAUUACCUUCUCUGUAGAACACUAUUUAUUAAAAGAUCUGCCUGCCAAACCUGCCUUCCUCGAAAUAUCCCUUCAUGUGAAAGCAUUAUGAGAAAGGGUAAAUCUAAUUGUAUACUAUAAUAGUGGCAGUAGGUGAGUUUACGUCACACACGCUAGGAAACUGCUUUAAUCUUUCGACAUCUCUCUCUUUCCAAAUCAUGCACGCAUUCAUUCCAUCAUCAAACAUUUAUUGAAAAUCUACACACCAGACACUGUUCUAGGCCCUGGGGAUAAGAAGUAAUGAAAACAACUGUCCCCUAGGAGUCUGCACUCUAGUUGAGGGAGGUGCUGGCUAGCCUCUGUUUACCCUCCAGGUCCAUCUUUGCCCUUUUCUGUGCCCCAGGAGGCUAGCCCCGCACUCUACUGUGCCUUGUCCUCUGGGAGGGUGAUGGAAGGUAGGGAGAGUGGGAGAUCCCAGCGGGAGGUUGUAGUAUGGAAGCACUGGAGAGCUAGGCAUUUUCUCCCCGCCAACUCCUUCCAGGCUGCAGUUUUGGCAGUGGUUGUGUUCCUGCCCUCUAGCCACAGAUCCUGGGGGAUCCCCCUCUCCCAUAGCCACAGAUCUUGGCAGGUUCCUCUGACACCUCUCUUACCUCCCCACCCUUCUUGACCCUUUUUACUUAAUGAGAGGCAACCCAUGGCUGCUCAAUGCUGUCGGUUCUAUGUUGACUUAACUGUUCUUACCUCUUCUGUUACCCUUUGAGAAUGUCACUUCUUUUCUGCCAGGACCUUGACUGAUACAGAAAUACAGAAAAUAAACAAACAAAUGAGUUAUA